GUAAAAUUGGAUAAAGCUUUGUGGGCUUAUCGAACAACCUUUAAAACUCCUAUCGUAUCGCAGGUACUUGAAUCAGGAGCAAGUGUCCUCCAAGCUGAUGAUGGAAGGGAGUUUACAGUAAAUGGACAAUGAGUUAAGCACUAUUUUGGUGAUGAAGUUUGGAGGAUCGACCUAAUAUCGAUGAGACCACCCAUCGAUUGAUCAGUUUUAGUGUUGUUGGUAAGUGCAUGCAAAGUGGAAAUCUCCAUGCAAUGGUCGGGCUAGAAAACUAUGGUCAGAUUCACUAUGCACCGAUAAUUGUUCAAUUUUCGACUUGUAGCAAGGCGCUAGCAAUGUAUCAGGUGACAUCUAUUCAUGGUCUAUUUCUUAU